rnacentral:lncRNA from 1 species
UAUUUAUAGGGUUAACUGCAUACACAUCUUUAUAAAUAUGAUGAAUUAUAAAUAUAUUGCUGCAAAGUUCAACUUUUAUAAGCUAUUUCUAUAAAAGUCCUAAUGUAUUCAGAUAUGUCUCUGUCGUUAGGGUCCGUUAGAGAAAUUUCUUUAACCACAGUUAAAAUACUUAACCAUAGUUAAUUAAAAAUGUGAACUAAUAAUUUUUUCUUUUUUUUUCUUCCUUUUCCUCUUCCUCUUCCUUUCCUGCUUCUUCUUCCUCUUCUUCUCCGUAUUCUCCUUUUCCUCCUCAUUUUCUCCUCCUUCUUCUUCUUCUUUUUCUUCGUCUUCAUUGUCGUCGAUGAUCCGAUCAUCGUUGCCGUCGUGGUGCCCGCGUGGGCCGUCAUCACGGGCGCCUCCGACAGCAUCAGCCGCGCCUUCGCCUUCCGCCUCUUCCUCGUCCUCGUUGGCCGCAAUCCUGACAAGCUCCGCAAGAUCGCCGCCGUCGUCGCCGUCCGCUCCCGCAGCCUGAAGAGGAAGAGGAAGAGGGCAAGGGCAAAAUUAUAAUUUCACAGCUUUAUUAUUAAAAAAUUAACAACGGAUCAUAACCAGAGAAUAUAUCUGAAUAUAUUAAAACUUUUAUAGAAAUAACUUAUAAAAAUUAAAUUUUAUAAAAAUAUAUUUAUAAUUCACUAUAUUUGUAGAAACGUAUAUGCAAUUAACUCAUAUUUAU